rnacentral:lncRNA from 11 species
UGAUGCAUCAGGAGUUAAGUAACUACAUGUUUGUUGCGUAAUCUCUUCUGUUGCUUCCCAGAUGUUCCAGCCAAUCAGAGACUCUAACAAAUGCCAUGUGCUACAAGAAGCAGCUUCACAACAGGAUAUUUAUGGAAGAAAUGCCACAGAUCGUUCCCAGCGUUGUGCAUGUUCUUCUCUUUUUCCAAGCUGAACAAGUCAUAGAGAUCAACUCAUCACAGAGAGACAAUUGUGAAAGGGUCCUUAAGAAUGCCUACCCACAACAAGCUGAAGAUUUUCUUUAUGCUACUGACAGUGGUUAUCUACACAAUAAUGAUAGUGAUGAAUGCAGGAGCUGGUUCAGGAGCAUUCAGAGGUGUGUUUCAUACCACGGUUGGAAAUAUCUCACGCCACCACGACACAGACUUCACACCAGCAUCCUGGGCCUUCUUCAUUUGGAACCUCAUCUUUCUAUGGCAAUAUGCCUGGCUGGUCUAUGCCUUGUCAGGUCUCUGCAGAAGGAAUGAACUUGGCUGGGUCUACAUGUUGCCAGAUGUGCUGCCACUCCCAUUUUACUGGAUAUGGAUGCUGAACAAUGCUUUAAACAUUGGAUGGCUAUUUCUGUGGGAUUCCUUACUCUUCAGUCCAGCGCUACUUGUCCUGGGACUUCUCACUCUCACGAACUAUGCAGCUCUCUUCAUUUCACACCGGGCUUUGUUUCCUCACACAGCCUGGUUCCAAAAACACAGCAAAGCAGACCUCUGGCUUAUCCGGAUUCUGGUGCAAAAUGGAAUUGCUCUGUAUGCCACUUGGACCACAAUAGCUACGCUCCUGAAUUUCACAGUUGUCUUGAUCUACAACGGACAUGUUUCCAAUGAGACUGCCACCAUAGUCUCACUUUGCAUCCUUUUAUGUGAGGUGGCUGUAUGGUUUUAUCUGGAGAACUUCUUAUUCGAUAAAUACGUGCGCUAUAACCUUAUUGUCUACCCAGUGGUCGUUUUAGCAUUAUGUGCCACCUUGCAGAAGAAUAGUAUUGAUUUCUCUCCAAAGGCAAGCAACAUAAUCACGGUUGUGCUGCUGGUAGUGACCUGUGUCAUAUUUAGCAUUCGAGUGGGCCUAGUCACUUGGAGACACAGAAAGGAGAAUUUGGACAAACUACUUCCUCAAACUGCAACACUGUGAAGUUACCUGCUUCCUGAAUGGAGCCAUUAAAGAGAAAGUAUGCCUUGAAGUCUUCUUCAAUUGUGGAUCAAGUUUGUAAUUGUGCCUUGUAAUCUUGUCUCAACCAACAGUUAACCAGAAUAUUUGUCCCAUGCAUUCAUAUUCAGCUAGCCUCUGAAUAUUGCCUCUUCAUCACCCACAUAGGGAUUUUAUGUAUUCCAGAACAGAGAUGGGAGUAGGGGAAAAAUAUCUGCAGACCGAUGGAUCAUAUGUACUUCAUGCUUUGGCUGUUCCCACAGCACCAGAAUUACUACUGCAAUAUGCAUUGGCUGGAUCCAAUUUCAGAAUAUGGAUUAACUGCAGUGAACUGGAUUAUUUCAGUCUACAUUGCCCUAUAAUCCAGCUCAAUACAAUUAAUCUGCAUUCUGAAACUGGAUUAUAGGGCAGUGUAGAUCCAGCCUGAAUGCCGUGUUUUAAUGCAAAAUCACACCCAAGAACUUCCUAGAAGUGUGGUUUUGCAUGAAAGAAAGCACAAACUCUCUAUUGUUCUGGCUUUAGGAAACAGAAGCAGCUGGGUGUAGUUCCUGAGGUUUCCAGAGAAGGAGAAGGCGGCUGCAAAUGUGGUUAUUGCACACCUGCUUUACAGAUAGAGCCUAUAUCAGGAUAAAGUUAAACUACAUAUCAAAUUAAUAUGGGAACUUUAAGGUUCUCUGCUUUUAUGCAAUAGCUUAAUUUGAGUUUUACAGUUACCUUAGUGUCUCCUUAUAAUACACUGACACAAAGGAGCCCCUGGUGGCGCAGUGGGUUAAACCCUUGUGCCGGUAGGAUUGGUGACUUGAAAGUUGGGUUGCUGACCUGAAGGUUGCUGGUUUGAAUCCAACCCGGGAAGAGUGUGGAUGAGCUCCCUCUAUCAGCUCCAGCUCCAUGUGGGGACAUGAGAGAAGCCCCCCACAAGGAUGGUAAAAAACAUCAAAAGCAUCCAGGCAUCCCCUGGGCAACGUCCUUGCAGACAGCCAAUUCUCUCACACCAGAAGUGACUUGCAGUUUCUCAAGUCGCUCCUGACAUGAGAAAAAAAGCAGACACAAAAACUGUCAAGUUAUACCUUUUAAAAACCUAUGCUUAAUUAGCAAGUGUGCAGCUCCGUACCCUGAGAGCUCUACUUCUUAUAAUUAAAUAUCUUGAGCUGUGCUCCCAUUCGCAGCAGAAGAAAAGUGGUCUGUUGAUUUGACUGGAAUGAAGCCAAAACCCAAAGCUCUUUCGGAUGCUACAUUUGCUGAAAUGCAAAGCUGAGAUACAUAAGUGGCUCAGAGGCUCCUGGGAAUGAUGCCAGACUCGUGUCUCACACACAAAGCCAUUAUGAAGCCUUCUUUUCCCCACCCCCAUUGCCAUUUUCUGGCUUAUUCUUUAAACAAACAUGGUUUCCAGGAAGCAACCUAAGAAAAGAUGAUUUUAGAAGCAGCUCUUCCUCCACACAGGUCCAGCAUUUCUAAUCUUGAUAAUUUUGUAGUAGACGCACUUGCUUCCAUACUAACCUUUUCCCCUGACAUUUCCCUCUGUAUUUCCUUGCAUAUUCAUUUUCUUUUUGUAUUACCCCUUUUUAAAAAAUUAGAAUGCAGCAUUUUAGGGUUAUCAAUCUGGAAUGCAGUCUUUCUCUUUUUCUACUGUCAUCUUCCUUAGUGCCUUUUCUAUGUGGCAAUCUGAGAGUCCAUCCAGACAGGCCCAAAACGUGGGACUGGUCUGGGUUUUUACUGGGAGCGUCCAAACAACGCCUUAGUAAAAACAAAUUAAUUUGGAAUAACUUUUGUUAUUCUGAAUUAAUUAAAUAUCCCAUUAGAUCUGGUCCUUCCUGAAAGGCCCAGAUCUAAUAGGGUAUUGGGACUGUGGAGACACAUUAUCGGGUAGUCCAGUCCCCAUUUGCCAUCCCGAACCUUUUGGGGUCCUGGAGCCCAAGGGUUUGGGAUGGUGCCCAGCCCUUCCCCCAGCCUGCAAAACAGUCCUUAAAAGUAAAAAAAAAAAAAAAAGUACAUGGCCAUCAUUAAGGUCCUCCUUGCACCCUCCUGGCAUGUGAAAAUGAUGUGCCAGAAGACAGGGUGGGAGAGGGAUUUUCCUCCUCGCCACCCCUUUCUCCUGGAACAUCAUUUCCUCAUGCCAGGAGGACGCAAGGAGGACUUUAAUGGAGGCCAGGUAAAGUUUUUUAAAAAAUUUAAGGGCUGUUUUGGGGGGCUUCUAGGUGGUUGUAUGCCAUCCCGAUUGUUAUCAAGAUGGCAUGUAGCCACCCUCCGCAGGAAAGCCCAGGUUUCUUGUGGUGACUAAAACCCAUACCGAAGCGGAUUUUUUAAACCCACUUCAGCAUGGGUUUUACCCCUGUGCGGAAGCUCCCUGAGUUAAGUCAUCUUGGUCUCUGGGAAGAAUUCAGGCUUGAAUUUGUUUUAUUGUUUUGCUUUUGCUUUUAUAUUGUUGUGUCUGGGCAAGGCCCCAUGUAAGCCGCCCUGAGUCCCUUUGGGGAGAUGGGGCAGGGUAUAAGAAUAAAGUUGUUGUUGUUAUUAUUAUUAUUAUUAUUAUUAUUAUUAUUAUUAUUAUUAUUUUAUUAUUGAAUUGCUCAAGAACCCAUUGAUCUGUCUUUUUAGCAGUCUAAAGCAUCCAUAGAAUUCUCCAGGACCAUUUCAAAUGAACUGAUUUUCUUCUGCAUCCAGCUUUUACAACCUUACAUAGACAUUACACAAAGUCCACCUAAAAAUCUACCAUUACUACAUAUUAGCAAGUCCAUUUUUGGAACAGCUACCACUACUACUCAUAUUCUUACUAGA